AACGAACGCUGGCGGCAGGCCUAACACAUGCAAGUCGAGCGAAGCCUUCGGGCUAGCGGCGGACGGGUGAGUAACGCGUGGGAACGUGCCCUUUGCUACGGAAUAGCCCCGGGAAACUGGGAGCAAUACCGAAUGUGUCCUUCGGGGGAAAGAUUUAUCGGCAAAGGAUCGGCCCGCGUUGGAUUAGGUAGUUGGUGGGGUAAUGGCCUACCAAGCCGACGAUCCAUAGCUGGUUUGAGAGGAUGAUCAGCCACACUGGGACUGAGACACGGCCCAGACUCCUACGAGAGGCAGCAGUGGGGAAUCUUAGACAAUGGGGGAAACCCUGAUCUAGCCAUGCCGCGUGAUCGAUGAAGGCCUUAGGGUUGUAAAGAUCUUUCAGUGGGGAAGAUAAUGACUGUACCCACAGAAGAAGCCCCGGCUAACUCCGUGCCAGCAGCCGCGGUAACAC
rnacentral:rRNA from 1 species